UGACGCGUCAUCACGUGACGUCACGGCGAUCUGAAAAACGGGAAGUAAACUGCGUUGAGCGAAAAGCACGAAGGAAAAAAACGGCCCAUCCCUCCAAAUGGUGUCCCUGAUUUGCACUUUACAAGACCACCGCGAUGACGUCAACUGGUGCGCCUUCUCCGCACAACUGUUAGCCACAUGUUCUGGAGACAAGACCGUGCGGGUGUACCACACCCGGGACUUCUCCGAACUGGCCUUCUCGCCGCUGGAAGGACACGGGUACAGCGUCCACUGCUGCUGCUUCAGCCCCUGCGGACAGUUCCUCGCCUCGUGUUCCACAGAUGCCACCACGCUGGUGUGGUCCAUGGCCACCGGGGAGAUCGAGGCCGUCCUGGAGCAUCCUGGUCGCAGCCCCGUCAGGAUCUGCGUGCUCUCCCCGGACUCGGUCCAUCUGGUCUCUGGUGCAUCUGAUGGUUCUUUGGCUGUCUGGGAUUUCCCAUCCAAGCAGCUCCGCAGGACCGGCUGCGUGAGUGACACAACAAUGGUGGCGUGCUCGUUCAGCCCGUGCGGCCAGACGUUUGUCACCGGCUCCACUUACGGUGACCUCCGUGUGUGGGACCUGGAUAUGAACCAGCUCCAUGCGGAGAAGAACGCCCACGACCUCGGAGUCACCUGCUGCACCUUCGCUCCGAACAUCCUCAGUGACAGUCAAGUUGUGCAGUUCCACUUGGCGUCAUGUGGACAGGACAGUCACGUGAAGAUCUGGGCCAUGACCAAGCUGAGUUCUGGAGCCUUUAGGAUGCAACUCCUGCACACGUUGACGGGCCAGUCGGCUCCAGUCCUCUCAUGCGCGUACUCCCCAGAUGGACAAAUGCUCGUCUCAGGCUCUGUGGACAAAACUGUGACGGUCUAUGACGCGAAAAAUGCUGAGUUGCUCUACAUGUUGAAUCAACAUGAACGGUACGUGACUGCGUGUUCCUUCUCUCCGACUUCACCACUAAUUGCCACAGGAUCCAUGGAUAAGACGGUGAACAUCUGGAGGGUGGAAGAUGGAUGCAGUGGCCACGUUGGAAAGUCAUUGCCAGAGGAGUCCGCUGUGACGUCAUGUCAAGCGUCGACGUCAGCAGGUCGUUCCAAGCUGCUGGUCAGUGAUUGGUCGGAGGAGGACGUGUCGGUGUGGCUGUCGGAGGAGGGGCUCGGGGGACUGGUGGACACAUUCAGGACCAACAACAUUGAUGGGAUCGAGCUGCUUGGUCUCACCAAGGAGUCGCUGCUGUCAGAAUUGCACAUAGAAUCAGUGGGCCAGCGCAGCAAAAUCCUGAGGAAGGUGGACGAGCUGAAGAAUGCGUCGGUGUGUUUGGGUGUUCCUGACGAGUUCCUGUGUCCCAUCACCAGGGAGCUGAUGAGAGAACCAGUCCUCGCUGCCGAUGGCUACUCGUAUGAAAAGGAGGCCAUCGCGAUGUGGAUCAGCACCAAGAACCGCUCCAGCCCCAUGACCAACCUCCCUUUACUGACAACUCUGCUCACCCCUAAUCACACGCUGAAGAUGGCCAUCGCUCGGUGGAGGACCAGCCACUAAGCAGCCUGCGCCGCCACUGCCACCGAAUCAUUUCAGGUCACUGACACGGAUCGAUGAACAAAGAUACAUCAUUUAUCGUAACUAAAUCAUUUUGGGACCAAUGAAGAUGCUCACCCUCGGAGAGCAGCAUCUCCACGGUGCUGCCGUGGCCCUCGGAGGCAGCCAGCAUGAGCGGCGUACGGCCCUGCUUGUCGCACACACUGACGUCCGCGUCGUGUUUCAGCAGCAACUCUGCCACCUGACGCGAGAAGAAAAAUUUAUCGUCUGCUGCUGCUGUGUAUCGGCGGGGUUUUCGGGGCCCCAAUCCUGGCCCAGCAGGAUGAUGAUGAUCUCCGUGUGGCCCUUCAGUGCGCCGUGGACCAGCGCGCACUGGCCAUUCUUAUCAGCUUGGCCCACCUGGCAGUAGAGGAGCACACAGAGGGAUUUAUGCCGGUCCUGGCCAUCGCUUCCAACACGCCGGCCUAAAGGAGGCCUGCUGUUGUCAUCUGGUUCCCACAAUAGACGCUGCAACAGGGCAGGCAGGCCAGGCAAUUGCCGAGGGCCCCCGAACAGAUGGGCAUGGAAAGCCGUUAGAGCAUUUAGUCCGUAUUCUGGAUAUCCAGCUUCAGACUCAUGGACUGGUACACCAUUUGUCCUCACUAAGCAGGCCGAUGACGCCGGCGUGUCCUGCAGCCGCCGCCAAGCACAGAGGCGUCAUGCCGCUGUCUGUGCUCACGUCGAGGGCCGCGCCCAUUUCCGUCAACAGGCCCACCAUCUCCACGUGCCCCAAGUGGGCGUGGACGCCCAGGAUGGGGGCGUGUCCCACCACCUCCGUGCACCAGCUCACAUUAGCGCCGCCCAGCAUCAGCAGACGACUGACCUACAGGAGGAAGACGAGAACAUUUACACUGACCUUGGGUCACAGAGGAAGUCGGCGCUUUCGCCAUCUGCCCUCCAAACCAGCCACUCUCUGAAGGAGGGAUGGCACAGCAUGCGUGUGCCAUCUCUGCGUCUCACCUGCCGGCAACAGCAAGACACAUUAGUGGACUUCCCAAACGGCAGACGUCCCCUGAACUGCCCUUCCUUGUACAUACUUACCCUUGCGCAGGUUGGCCAUGGGCUCCAGGACACCCUUUCGGAAGGCAGCUAUGGGGUCUUGGACACAGGAGCGCAGACUGAGCAUAUUCUGCAAGUGAGGUUCCUGGAUCAGCAGCUCCCUGAACGGGGUGAGCUGUGGCGAUCUGGCCAGCAGGGCGGCGACACUGUGAACAAACUCCGGGACCAGGCAGGUGUAUGUGUUGUCGGCCUGGCAGAAAUGUUGCUGGUUUUCCUCAAGACCUCAUCCAGACGCACGAAGAGCCAAUCCCGGCCCACGAAAGGUGUUUCCGCGGUGGCGCCGGGAACUUCGAACAGCAGCGGUUUCAGCAUGAUGUCGCCUUGUUUGAAAUGGGCCAGUCUCCCUGGAGAAAGUGCAAGUGUGGACAAAGAACAAACUUCUACGUGGACUGUCAGGAGCAAGAGGAGCAAUGUAGACUCGAUGGAGAAGAAAACCUUCUUUAUUAGUUCAUGUUUUCACUGUUAACACCAACGCUUCAUUGGGCACACAUAGGCCAGGAAUAUUGCAGGAAUUGUACAAUUAAGAAUAAAGUACAAUAAAGAACCAGUGGCCCUAAUAGUUGGGUAGGUUAUGUCCCUUGUUGCGGGGUACGGCUAAUGUUGGCCUCCAUGUACCGGUCCAUGUACCGGUGCAGAGCUACGCGCACAGGAGAAUAUGACCCAAAGAACACACUAGUACACGGACCUUAAGCUGGACAUCAAGAAUAGUGAACAAAUGCUCAAACGACUUGAUAAGUGUCCAUCCUAAAUUUUCCUGGUUUAUUAUGUCAAAAUGACUGCUGUGAAGUAAGGUUAUGAAGACAGAAAUCAAUUAAGAUUUCAGCACAGCACUCAUCAUCAUUGCUACAGUAUUUUCCUUCUCCCAAUGUACUGUACAUUAUAUCAGGCUAUAUAAAGUAUGCACGCUUGUUUGUAUACUGUAGCCGAAUUUCUGUGUUGCAGCUUGACAUGAUCAUGCCAACGUUUUCCACAUGGGAAAAAUUAAAGCUUUGUUUUAAAUUGAGAGCAAAUACACAAAGUUCUGAACUUUCAUGUGGAGUAAAUAUUAGCAGGCCCAGCCAGUACUGUGCAGCCCACUUUGCCUUUAUCCUCAAUUUCAUUUCGACUGUCUAAAUGAAAGCACCAGCUGACAGAAGAAACUGGCAGGCUUUACUGUGAAUCCACUCCUUAGGGAAUCUCUUUUAUGCCCGCACCACAAAGCACGAAUGAACAGACAUCUAAGGUUAUGUGAGGAAGAGGAAGAGGAAGAAGAGCCUUGUGCACCAGCACAGAUUGUAACAGGAGAGGUUGGAUGGUGGGAUUACUCCGAGGAGGCCCAAGAUGGUUGUCCUCGCCUGUGUGGCCCAUGACGACGACGCUGCCUCCCGGGGCUUCGUCCGCAGUCAGAUCGGAACUCGAGACACUUCGCUCCUCAUUCUCAGAAGAACUAGUGAUGGUUGCUACGCACAAGAGGGAUAUUGGUGAGGGUGGAGGUGGGACUUUGUGGCGGUGGGCCGAGGCUGCUCCCAGCGACGAGUGCGGCCGGAGAACAUUGAGCGGGGCCUCGUACGGGGCUGGAGAGCGUCCCGCUGGGACUGAGGCUGGAGCCUCCGUGUGGUGAAGGCAGGGGCAAAGGGUGGCAUACGUUACUGCUGCUUAAGGUGGAGGAGGGGCUCCCAGAGCAAGGAGAGGCAGUGCCGCAGGUCAACGUGGAGCUCGGACUCCCUCCCUGAGCGGGAGUGUCGCCCUGAAAAAGAAAGAGGCACUAAAUACGUAUACUCCGGAUGAGAAAAAAUAUCAGCAGUCUCCAUUUUCUCUGCAACAUUUUUCAGAAGGACAGCUGGUUAGAUUCUCAAAUGAAUCCCGCGCUGUUGACAGUCACCGUUUGGAGACAAACUCACUCGACACACACUGCUGUUCAAGAUGGAAGAUAACCUCAAUAAGACGGAUAUGGAUAUUCGUCACAGAUGAAAGGAUACAUUUAGGCACAGAAAAUCCAAUGAAUACAUCAUGUUAAUAUGUGGAUGACAGCUGUAAUGUGUGCAAAGGUAAAAAAAUAAAAAAAAGAGGAUGAAGAAUGAGGUAGCACUG